rnacentral:lncRNA from 1 species
AAAAAAGAAUUAUUUCAAAGCUGCAGCAGAAAUCAGGGGAAAGGCAAAUAUAAACUACAAAAUAUCAUGAUGCAUUUGGUUUUAAAGACUUCUAAACAGGAAAAAAACAUAGAGAUGGGUUGUAGUGGGGAGAAGGCAGGGAUGAAGAAAAAGGUGGCCCCGCCCACACUCCCGCCCCCACCCUCUUGCCGCAAUGCAGGUGGGAACCAUAAUUGGGUAUCUGAGCUCAGAGUGACGUGGCCCUUACGAGACCUGGAGCUGACGCGUGGGUUAGCGUCUCCUCCUAGUUGCAGUCUGGUUGUCCUUUGUGGCUGUGCGCCGGCACGCUAUUGCCUUGAAGGCAGGCGAGCCUGUAGCACCGGGAAGGAGGAAGUCGUAGAAGCUGACCCUGAUCGGUUGCAGGUCUCUGGGUCCGUUGGUGCAGCAGAUUUCAAAGCAAAGAGAAAACGACUACUUCUGAGCCUGCAGGAAGAGUAA